rnacentral:lncRNA from 1 species
GGUUAGGGUUGGGCUUGGAGCUAGGAUUUUUCUGAGUGCAAUGAACCAACUCCCGAGUCUCUAGGACGUUCCUAAAAAAAAUAGAUUUUUUUCCCAUAGGAAUGCAUGGGUUAGGGUUAGGGUUAGGGUUGGAGCUAGGGUUAGGGUUAGGGUUAGGGUUGGAGUUAGGGUUAGUGUUGGAGCUAGGGUUAGGGUUGGGCUUGGAGCUAGGAUUUUUCUGAGUGCAAUGAACCAACUCCCGAGUCUCUAGGGCGUUCCUA